GAUUAACGCUGGCGGCAUGCCUUAUGCAUGCAAAUAGAACGAAGUCUUCGGACUUAGUGGCGGACGGGUGAGUAACACGUGGGAACGUGCCUUUAGGCUCGGAAUAACUCAGGGAAACUUGUGCUAAUACCGAAUGUGCCCUUCGGGGGAAAGAUUUAUCGCCUUUAGAGCGGCCCGCGUCUGAUUAGCUAGUGUGUGAGGUAAAGGCUCACCAAGGCGACGAUCAGUAGCUGGUCUGAGAGGAUGAUCAGCCACAUUGGGACUGAGACACGGCCCAAACUCCUACGGGAGGCAGCAGUGGGGAAUCUUGCGCAAUGGGCGAAAGCCUGACGCAGCCAUGCCGCGUGAAUGAUGAAGGUCUUAGGAUUGUAAAAUUCUUUCACCGGGGACGAUAAUGACGGUACCCGGAGAAGAAGCCCCGGCUAACUUCGUGCCAGCCGCCGCAGUAA
rnacentral:rRNA from 1 species